rnacentral:rRNA from 1 species
GACGAACGCUGGCGGCGUGCUUAACACAUGCAAGUCGAACGGAAAGGCCUGCUUUCCCUUGUGGAUUGCGGGUACUCGAGUGGCGAACGGGUGAGUAACACGUGAGUGAUCUGCCCCCAACUUGGGUAUAAGCCUGGGAAACUGGGUCUAAUUCCCGAUAGGACUGCAGGGUGGUGCCUGUGGUGGAAAACGAUUUUCUAGUGGUUGGGGGUGAGCUCGCGGCCUAUCAGCUUGUUGGUGGGGUAAUGGCCUACCAAGGCGGCGACGGGUAGCCGGCCUGAGAGGGUGGACGGCCACAUUGGGACUGAGAUACGGCCCAGACUCCUACGGGAGGCAGCAGUGGGGAAUAUUGCACAAUGGGCGGAAGCCUGAUGCAGCGACGCCGCGUGGGGGAUGACGGCCUUCGGGUUGUAAACUCCUUUCGACCGCGAGGAAGCCACCUGGUUGGAAGGGUGGUGACGGUAGUGGUAGAAGAAGCACCGGCUAACUACGUG